rnacentral:rRNA from 1 species
GAUGAACGCUGGCGGCGUGCCUAAUACAUGCAAGUCGAGCGAACGGACGAGAAGCUUGCUUCUCUGAUGUUAGCGGCGGACGGGUGAGUAACACGUGGAUAACCUACCUAUAAGACUGGGAUAACUUCGGGAAACCGGAGCUAAUACCGGAUAAUAUUUUGAACCGCAUGGUUCAAAAGUGAAAGACGGUCUUGCUGUCACUUAUAGAUGGAUCCGCGCUGCAUUAGCUAGUUGGUAAGGUAACGGCUUACGAAGGCAACGAUGCAUAGCCGACCUGAGAGGGUGAUCGGCCACCCUGGAACUGAGACACGGUCCAGACUCCUACGGGAGGCAGCAGUAGGGAAUCUUACGCAAUGGGCGAAAGCCUGACGGAGCAACGCCGCGUGAGUGAUGAAGGUCUUCGGAUCGUAAAACUCUGUUAUUAGGGAAGAACAUAUGUGUAAGUAACUGUGCACAUCUUGACGGUACCUAAUCAGAAAGCCACGGCUAACUACGUG